AACAUACUCCCUCCAUCCCAAAUUCUUGUCUUACAUUUGUCUAGAUAUGAAUGUAUCUACUCAUAUUUUAAUACUUAGAUACAUUCAUUUCUAGACAAACUUAAGACAAGAAUUUUGAAACGGAGGGAAUAUCAA
rfam:Hordeum vulgare subsp. vulgare, WGS project CAJW01000000 data, contig: morex_contig_1570908